GUGGAUGUGUCCAAGUGGAUUUUGAAUCCACCAUGCACGGGUUCAAUUCUCGUCAUUUGCC
rnacentral:tRNA from 1 species